GGCUAGAUGGCCGAGCGGUCUAAGGCGCCACGUUAAGGUUUCUUUCAAACCCUUAAUCUCAACUCCACUUCCAGAGUUCCGUGGUCUCGUAAGGGGCGUGAGUUCGAAUCUCACUCUAGUCA
rfam:Podospora anserina genomic DNA, chromosome 1.